rnacentral:rRNA from 1 species
GAUGAACGCUGGCGGCGUGCCUAAUACAUGCAAGUCGAGCGAACAGAUGAGGAGCUUGCUCCUCAGACGUUAGCGGCGGACGGGUGAGUAACACGUGGAUAACCUACCUAUAAGACUGGGAUACCUUCGGGAAACCGGAGCUAAUACCGGAUAAUAUAUUGAACCGCAUGGUUCAAUAGUGAAAGACGGUUUUGCUUUCACUUAUAGAUGGAUCCGCGCCGCAUUAGCUAGUUGGUAAGGUAACGGCUUACCAAGGCAACGAUGCGUAGCCGACCUGAGAGGGUGAUCGGCCACACGGGAACGGAGACACGGUCCAGACUCCUACGGGAGGCAGCAGUAGGGAAUCUUCCGCAAUGAGCGAAAGCCUGACGGAGCAACGCCGCGUGAGUGAUGAGGGUCUUCGGAUCGUAAAACUCUGUUAUUAGGGAAGAACAAAUGUGUAAGUAACUAUGCACGUCUUGACGGUACCUAAUCAGAAAGCCACGGCUAACUACGUG